rnacentral:rRNA from 1 species
ACGCUCGACACCUACGGGAGCAGCAGUUGGGAAUAUUGGACAAUGGAGGAAACUCUGAUCCAGUGACGCCGCGUGAAGGAAGAAGGUCUUCGGAUUGUAAACUUAUUUUGUCAGGGAAGAAAAAUGACUGUACCUGAAGAAAAAGCACCGGCUAACUACGUGCCUGCAGCCGCGGUAAUCUGAGCGGGCUGGCAAGGC